rnacentral:rRNA from 1 species
UACGUAGGGUGCAGGCGUUAAUCGGAAUUACUGGGCGUAAAGCGUGCGCAGGCGGUCUGCUAAGAGAGAUGUGAAAUCCCCGGGCUUAACCUGGGAACUGCGUUUCUAACUGGCAGGCUAGAGUGUGGCAGAGGGGGGUGGAAUUCCGCGUGUAGCAGUGAAAUGCGUAGAGAUGCGGAGGAACACCGAUGGCGAAGGCAGCCCCCUGGGCUAACACUGACGCUCAGGCACGAAAGCGUGGGGAGCAAACAGG